GGCGUCAGUCUUCAUUUCCUUGGUUCUGCCUCAAGCCCAUGGACACUUGUCAACAUUCCUCCCUUUAUUUUGUUCUCAUCUCCCCAAAACUCACCACUUUCACCUCACCCUCUCACUUUCCCAAAUUCCACCAUUUCCACUUCUCAUCUCUCACCCCUCACCUCAACCAACACUACCUACGUCCUACCUUUCCCCUCCGAUCGUUGAUCUUGCUGUCCACAUCACCGUCCACCUCAAUGAGUAGAAACAUUAGAGCUAAGCACAGAUUCGGAGCCAAGAAGGACUCAAGGAAUACAUGAAAAAAUGCUACACAGUCCCCUAGUGUCCAACAACACCGGAGUGUUGAAGUGCAGAAGAGUAACCAACAGGAACAGAGCAACAAAGCUGAACACGGCCUGACCAUGUUGAUCUACAUGACCGUGUUGGAUGUCAACAUUCAGUUUCUCACACGAUCUUAAAAGAUUUGACGGUUAUUAUCAGUUAAGAUAUCUUUUCCAGACUUUAAAAGGACGUCUGGAGGUAUCUGAGAGAGGACGGCUGGCUGGAGAUUUUUCUUUUUUUUUUCUUUCUUAUUUCUUUCCCCAUCUUUCUACAAUUCUUAGUUUAGGACUUCUUUUGAUUUGUAAUCUGCUAGUUGUGGGGAAUUGUGUCUAACAUCUUGACUUCGA